rnacentral:rRNA from 1 species
UACGAAGGGGGCUAGCGUUGUUCGGAAUCACUGGGCGUAAAGCGCACGUAGGCGGCUCUUUAAGUCAGAGGUGAAAUCCCAAGGCUCAACCUUGGAACUGCCUUUGAUACUGGGGAUCUUGAGUCCGGGAGAGGUGAGUGGAACUGCGAGUGUAGAGGUGAAAUUCGUAGAUAUUCGCAAGAACACCAGUGGCGAAGGCGGCUCACUGGCCCGGUACUGACGCUGAGGUGCGAAAGCGUGGGGAGCAAACAGG